rnacentral:misc_RNA from 1 species
UCCGAGUUGACCCCGGCAGUCUCCCAUGAGUCCCCGCCAUUACGCGCUGGCAACAUGGAACGAGGGUUGCGCUCGUUGCGGGACUUAACCCAACAUCUCACGACACGAGCUGACGACAACCAUGCACCACCUGUGAACCGGCCCCAAAGGGGAAACCACAUCUCUGCGGCGGUCCGGUCCAUGUCAAGCCUUGGUAAGGUGGGGAUGACGUCGAACGGUUGGUU